UACAACAACAACAACAACAACAAAGCCUUUUCCCACUAAGUGGGGUCGGCUAUAUGAAUCCUAGAACGCCAUUGCGCUCGAUUUUGUGUCAUGUCCUCCGUUAGAUCCAAGUACUCUAAGUCUUUUCUUAGGGUCUCUUCCAAAGUUUUCCUAGGUCUUCCGCUACCCCUUCGGCUCUGAACCUCUGUCCCGUAGUCACAUCUUCGAGCCGGAGUGUCAGUAGGCCUUCUUUGCACAUGUCCAAACCACCGUAACCGAUUUUCUCUCAUCUUUCCUUCAAUUUCGGCUACUCCUACUUUACCUCAGAUACCCUCAUUCCCAAUCUUAUCCUUUCUCAUGUGCCCACACAUCCCACGAAGCAUCUUCAUCUCCGCUACACCCAUUUUGUGUACGUGUUGAUGCUUCACCGCUCAACAUUCUGUGUCAUACAGCAUCGCUGGCCUUAUUGUCGUCCUAUAAAAUUUUCCCUUGAGCUUCAGUGGCCUACGACGGUCACACAACACACCGGAUGCACUCUUUCACUUCAUCCAUCCAGCUUGUAUUCUAUGGUUGAGAUCUCCAUCUAAUUCUCUGUUCUUUUGUAAGAUAGAUCCUAGGUAGCGAAAACGGUCGCUUUUUGUGAUCUUCGCUUGAUUGCUCUGGUCAUUAGUGUGGAUAAGUAUAUAAAUGGAUAGAGACAGGAAAGCAAACACAAGAUGUACGUGGUUCAACCAGGUUGGCUACGUCCACGGAAUAUAGGAGUUCUCAUUAAUUGUGAAGGGUUUACACAAGUACAUAGGUUCAAUCUCUCCUUUAGUGAGUACAAGUGAAUGAUUUAGUACAAAUGACAUUAGAAAAUAUUGUGGGAGAAUGAUCUUGUAAUCACGAAACUUCUAAGUACCGAAGUGUGGUAUCGUCUUGACCUGCCUUAUUUGUCUCAUAGGUAGAUGUGGCAUCUUCUCUGGAAGUACUCUUACUCCAUCCAGGGGUGGUAUCUUUAACUGGUGGAGAUGCACAAGGUAAUGUAUCAAUUUCACUUGAAGCUUACUUGUAGUUUCAGGCUUGGUUAAGUGCGAUACAAACCAUGUAGUAGGAGUCCUCCAAGUCGCCGAGCUAGGGGAUCUGCUGAAAGAGGUGACAGACAAGGUAAACAAUCAGAGCUCCAAGCAAUCAGUCCCAGAUCAGAAGUUUGAUUUCGAGUUCCGGCUGAUUGUUCUCAUUCUCCCUAUCUUGCAAGCAGCAUGAAGGAUAAAGAGAAGAAAAAUUAGAAGAGAUGAUAUGAGAUACGUUUGCUUUUGAAAAAGUAACUUUCCACAGGCUUAUUCUUGAACUGGGCUAGAAGGUUUUCUGGUUUCCUCCAGAGUAUAAGGCCGACUGAAGAAUUUGACGGUCAACAAGUCCAUCAAAUCUAGAGUACGUUCGACCCUGCUGAUAUGGGAUAUUUUUGCUUUUGACAAAGUAGUGGAUGUAUUGGCACGUGUGCUGUUACGCUUGUCUCCACAUGCUUCCUUGUAUCCUUCUCACUUGCCCUAUAUGUUCCUCACGCAGAUGCGGUAUCUUCCCUGGAAGCAUAAGAUGUUGAGGAUGAGUACUCGAGAGCAAUGCCAGGUAAGUAAUCAGGUAAGGGGUUCCAGGCAGUCAGUUCCUGACUGGAAGCUUGAUUCCAAGUGCUGACUGAUUGCUCUCUUUCUCCUUGUCUUGCAGGUAAGAACAAGGCCAAAGGAAAAGAUAGGGAAAAAGCAUGAUAUGGGAUACUCUUGCUUUUAACCCUGAUGAUAUGAGAUAUUCUUGCUCUGGUAUAGCUUGUUUGCAGAGGUAUUAUUGGGGGAAAAGAAAGCUGAAUAUUUCGAAAGGCUUCGUUGGGAGUGCCCUCUCAGAUAUGAGGAGGGGUUGAGCAUUUUUGCAGGUCUGCCUGUCCGUUGGGGAUGGAGGUCGACAUAUAUAGGAGUCUUCCUAACAACAAGUAGUAAUGCUAUUCAUUUACCCUGCUUGGUUAUAGCACGGUAAUGGGAGCUGCCAGCUUCACAUGUUUUAACUAUGUCAGAGCACUUUGAAAAAGUGGUCUGUGGUAUCUGGAAAGCUGAUGUUGCGUGUGAAGAUUACAAACAAGCUUUAUCCAAGGAGAUCUGGCUCUCGAAGUUGAGAAAGUGGUGCCUCUUCGGUUUUCGAACAAACAAUCCUGUCGGGGAUCAAUCCUGCUGGGGGUCUGGCUCUCGAGAUUCGGAGAGCGGUGUCUCUUCAAUUUUUGAGAAAGUAAUCAUGUUGGGAGUCUAGCUCUCGAGAUUCGGAGGGCGGUGCCUCUUCGAUUUUGGAGCAAGCAAUCUUGUUGGGAGUGUUUUCUCGAAUGUGAGUAAAGGUUGGGCAUGUUUGCUAGUCUACCUUGCCACGGAGCACCGAGGUUGACACACAGGGACUUUCCAAUUAUCCAGCAGUGGUACUGUUCCUUUACCAUUGUGGGUAAUAAUAUGGAAGCUAGACCUUUAAAAUUUAUGUGUCUAAACUUUGUUAGUGCUGGUUCUUUGCUAUUCUUUUACCCUUCUUGGUCAGAGCGAUGUAGUGGGAGCUGCAAGCUUCACGUGUCUCAACUUUGUCAGAGAACUUUGGCAAAGUUAUCUAUGGUACCCAUGAGCUAUUGUUGCGUGUGGAAAGUGGGUGAUUGAACAGUAAGAUUCAUGUGCUUUAUACUUCACCAGAAAUCUUCGACAAAAUGCUCGUAAUUUCCGCAAAGCUGAGUGUGCGUGUGACAGGUGCUGACAAGGCUGAAAAGUGGUGCCUCUUCAAUUUCUGAGAUCCGCCCUCGUGGUCUCUGAGCAGCCCAGCUUUUGAGGAAGUAAGCGCCUCUUCGAUUUCUGAGAUCGGCCUUCGUGGUCUUUGAGCAGCCCAGCUUUUGAGAGAGCAAACGCCUCUUCAUUUUCUAAGAUCGACCCUCGUGGUCUCUGAGCAGCCCAACUUUUGAGAAAGCAAAUGCCUCUUCGAUUUCUGAGCAGGCGCCUCUUCGAUUUCUGAAGCUUCGUCGAGUGCAGAUUUUUAUAGAGGCUGGCAUUAAGUUCCAAAGCACACUUAAAUCUCCACCAGUAGAAGCUCCAUUCUUGCACUUCUAAGAUCUUGAUUUGUCCGACCUCUUCUCUCUUCAACACCUUUGAAAAUGUCUGGCCCCUCCGACCGUCGUUUUGACUUGAACCUUGUUGAAGAGACAUCCACGGCUUCUCCAGACAACAUAUGGCGCCCAUCCUUCGUCUCCCCUACUGGUCCUCUUACCGUUGAUGAUUUCGUGAUGAAGAAUGAUAUGACCAUUGCGGUGGUGGCCAGGAACCUUCUCACUCCCAAAGAUAACAGACUACUUUCCAAAUGGUCUGAUGAGUUGGCUGUUAAGGAUUCUCUGGCUCCCACUGUUCAGUGUGCAGGUUCUGUGUCUAAUAUGGCCCAACGCCUAUUUGCUCGAACCCGCCAAGUUGAAUCAUUAGCGGCUGAAGUGAUGAGUCUCAAACAGGAGAUUAGAGCGCUCAAGCAUGAGAAUAAACAGUUGCACCGACUCGCACAUGACUAUGCUACAAACAUGAAGAGGAAGCUUGACCAGAUGAAGGAAUCUGAUGGUCAGGUUUUACUUGAUCAUCAGAGGUUUGUGGGUUUGUUCCAAAGGCAUUUAUUGCCUUCGUCUUUUGGGGUUGUACCGCGUAAUGAAGCUCCAAAUGAUCAACCUCGGAUGCCUCCUCCUUCUAGGGUUCUGUUCAGUACUGAGGCUCCGAAUGAUCCUUCUCCGGUGCAUUCUCUUUCUGGGGCUCUACCGACUGCUGAGACUUCUCCUAAGCAACCUUUGUGAAGGCUCCCUGUUGUUUGUUUAUUUUGACUCAUGUAUAUGUACAUAUUUGUAACUUAUCGGCGAUAUCAAUAAAUAAGCUUUGCUUCAUUUCAACGUAUUGUGUUAAAUACACCGAAGCCUUCUUCGCUAAGUUCUUUGAAUUUUUCUUUUGUUGAAGCUUGUAUGUUGAAGCUUUGUGAGUGGAGGAUGUAGGUUGAGGUAGUGUUCCCUUAAUUUCCCGAGUGAGGAAAACUUCUCGGUUGGAGACUUGGAAAAUCUAAGUCACUGAGUGGGGUCGGCUAUAUGAAUCUUAGAACGCCAUUGUGCUCGGUCCUGUGUCAUGUCCUCCGUUAGAUCCAAGUACUCUAAGUCUUUUCUUAGAGUCUCUUCCAAAGUUUUCCUAGGUCUUCCUCUACCCCUUCGGCCCUGAACCUCUGUCCCAUAGUCGCAUCUUUUAAUCGGAGCGUCAGUAGGCCUUCUUUGCACAUGUCCAAACCACCGUAACCGAUUUUCUCUCAUAUUUCCUUCAAUUUCGGCUACUCCUACUUUACCCUGGAUAUCCUCAUUCCUAAUCUUAUCCUUUCUCGUGUGCCCACACAUCCAGCGAAGCAUCCUCAUCUCUGCUACACCCAUUUUGUGUACGUGUUGAUGCUUCACCGCCCAACAUUCUGUGCCAUACAGCAUCGUCGGCGUUAUUGCCGUCCUAUAAAAUUUUCCCUUGAGCUUCAGUGGCAUACGGCGGUCACACAACACGCCGGAUGCACUCUUCCACAUCCAUCCAGCUUGUAUUCUAUGGUUGAGAUCUCCAUCUAAUUCUUCGUUCUUUUGCAAGAUAGAUCAUAGGUAACGAAAACGAUCGCUCCUUGGUAUUUCUUGAUCUCCGAUCCUCACCCCUAACUCGUUUUGGCCUCCAUUUGCACUGAAAAAUAUAUCAAAUUGAAUGUAAGAACAAUAUUAAAGACACCAAGAUUGUAACGAGGUUCCUCAACAGUCAGUGUAACUGGAGUACGUCCUCGGAGCAUUAGGAGCUCACCCAAUAAUCCACUAUCAUCAAAUGGGAGUUUACAAAGUGUUGGCAAGCUCACAACCCAAAAACCCCAAUACAACCAAUAGCUCUCACACACUAAAGAAACAAAUAGAGAGAAAUAUAAUGAAUAGUUUCCUCUCUAUACAAAACUCAAAGCUAUUACAACAACAAGUACUUUGGUGGAUGAUUACUAAGCAAAGAGAGGAGCCCUCUUCCAAUGGGGAUGUUGCACCCCUUCUUCUCUACCCUGAUACUCUGCUGCUCUCUGUAACUGCAAUCAGAAAAUGCUCUAUAUUUUCUCUCAAAAUGGGCUACCUUAACAAAACCAAUUGGUGUACUCACCGAAGCACCCUUAUUAUCUGCCUUUGAAAGAAGGCCAAAUCAAAAGGAAUAAUCAUUCCUCAACAAACAUAAUCAUUUGCUUUUCACCAAAGACACAUGAUUUUGUCCACCAUUUUUGUUUAUUUUAUUAACCGAAAGUUGUUUGCAAGUUGGCCACUAAUUUGGCCACUAUCCAACACAAGAGACUUCUGAAGGCAAACUUGGCUCCAUUUAACCAAGUUAACAUUAAGCUGUCAAGUUGAUCACAAACGGUAACUGGUAAUUUCACUGCAUGCAUAGCAUAAACUGCAUACCAUCCAAUCUUACAAUGAGCUUCUUUGUCUUGUGGAAAAGAGGACCUAAACCCUCUCUAUUCGAGGUCAAGACUUUUUAAUUGAUCAAGUUUAUGUAACACAAAACCAUCGACUGACUGUCAAUUAUCUUGCGCAAACGUUAAGAAAAUUUCAUGUUUUAACCACAUUUAUUCCAACCUACAAGGCUUCAAGUUCGAACCUGGAAUAUGGUCACUCUUAAGGCAAAGAGCCCUCCAAGCUUGAUUACCAAUGGCCCGAUCUAAUCUUUCUUUGGUAUCUCCCAUGACGAUUCCUGUAGAACAUAUGUAAAUUGAUUGCCAAUUGAAAUCAAUCAUACAAUGGUUUUGAACUAAUUGAUUAAGCUUUGGUUGGUUUAUGAAAAACAGCUGGUUGGAAAAUAAAUUAAGAAAACAAUUUUAGGCUUGAGUUAAAUCAUAGUUGUUUUGUCCCGUUAAUGAAUGAGCUAACAAUGCAUUAGCUAACAAGUCAGAAAAGUGAAAAAAAAUAUGAUAUGGUUAAAGUUUCAUGUUUUUAUGUUUUUGGUAAACGAUUGCAAUAUUUUAUUCUUCCUUCACAUAGAUUUUCCUUUUUAUCCAAUUUCCCAAGAAAUGGUUAAGCUUUCGUCUUUAUGCUACCAGUGAUGUGGUUACUGCAAAAGUAGUGCAGCAACAUAGCACAACAAGCAUUCGUUCUAACCAGGAAUUGAACCAUCUUAGGUUAAAUCUCGAGUACUAGAAAUGGCAAAGUUGAUAGAGAAUGAAGACGGUGUUGCAGCUGCAGUUAAUGCAUUUCACCGGCAGUUAGCUCCUGAGUUACCAUCGCAACCUGCAUCUUCAGAGGAAGAUGAGCAUCCAAGCCCUAUGGUGGUGUGAUUAUUUCUUCAACUUGAGAAGUGGUGCAGCCUGCCUUGUGGUGUAUAGGAUUCUUGCUGUGUCUUGUGCUGUUGUACAGAUAUGUUUUAAUUUUUUUAUAUUAUCAUAUUAAUUUAAUUUAGCCCUUCAUUCAUUUGAUUCAUGGCUUCACUGUGUGCGUUUGAUUGAUAAAUUGUUUACAAGCCAAUGUAGGGUUCUCACAGCUUGUGGUAGUGUAGUACAAUAAAUCAAAUUUCGUUUCAGUUAGUAAAACUGACAAAGCGAGAAUAUAACCGUGCCGAACCAACUCAAUUAUUUAUAUCUAUCUUUUCACCAUUUGCUUCAGUUUGCAUUGUAUGAUUGUAUCCAUGUUCGUUGACCUGAGAAAUAUAAGUACCUGGUUCCGCAUAAGAUAUACUGAAGUCAAAUGAUGGUAGUUUUGUCAUUUUGAUGCUGUACCCGAUCUUGGUUUGCAAGCACACUCUUAUCUUAGGGACAUGGGGUAGGGCCAAGUUUCGGCUUACUUUGUUAUUAGGUGACACUUAUUUUUACAUCUCGACGACUACCAGAUUCCUUAAGAUGGCAUGCCAAUUAUUACCUUAUAUGUAUGUAAGUUUGUAUGUAUGUACUUCAUCUGUGUGGUUCUUGAGACCUUUCUUGAUUCUAUUUCUUGAGCCUUUUGUAUAUUCGUCACAAAAACUAUAAAAUAAAACCUAUUUACGAAUUUGAAAAAUCCUGUACGAGAUUGAAAAAAAAAUGUCAUUAGAUACAAAGAAAUACAAACUUAUUUUGCUUGUUUUUGAACUCUGCUUUGAUCUGAGAUGGUUCAUUACAUUAUUUUGGAUCCAAUGGUUUAAACAGGAGUCCAACAAUUCUGCAGAAUCUUGAGAUAGUUUAUUUAGCAGUCCUGGUUGCCAUAGAAUUUCAGCAUUUUGGGUAUCUUGCUUAGGCAGGUUGAUCAAUUGGAUUUUAUGUUUGCUGGAUUAUGAAAGUUCUAAAUCCUGUAUGAUUUGCACUGGUAGUCUUACUUAACCGAAAUAGAAGGGGGCAAAAGAGUUAUACAUACGAGUUCUAGUAAAACCAUAUCUUUGUACUCCAAUAUAUAUAGACCGGUAGAUAUUCAGUAACAACACACUUAGCUACUUAAUACAAAUAUUCUACUAAUCCCGUCAUUUUUUGUAAAGUUUGAUCUCUUUCCACCUUGAUUCCAUGAAGUUACUCGAAUUCUCUGGUGCAGCAUAUACUCCACAUUUGAAAUACAGAUCCCCUGGUCCUUGAUCUUUCACCACAAACUUCUUGACAGCAUCAAUGAAAACUAUAAUCUUCCCUUUGUCAACGUUGUGGAUUAUGUUUACGCGGAACCACUUGUCGUAAAGAUCAGUAGCUACGACGUUGUAUUUGUAGUAUUUGAUAUCUCCGUCAUACAUCCUUAGCUGUAGAGAUGUCGCUCCCUCAGCUGCACCGUGGAUCUGCACUAUUGUAACCCCAGAAGUACCACUUGGCACAUAUGUAUAGCCUUCAAAUUGCCAAAUUCCAGAAGAAUAGUCAUGCCCCUAAAACAAAACCCCCAAGUUCAACAAGUAGUUAGAAUUUUAGUGAUGUAGGUAGCACUGUGAAAAUAUGGUAGAUAGAGGGAAAGAUAUUUAUACCGAAAUGCGCAGCUCUGACCGCGGCCUAGUUGUGCUGUCCGCUUUGAAGGGCUUGUCAUGGUUGUAUAUCCAAAAACUUCGAACUCCAUCCUUGUAACUGUAACGAUCAUCGAGGGGUUCAUUAUAUGGUUUUUGUAACACAAAGUUGUCUUCUGUCAAUGGUACAGGGGUGAAUCCAUCAGUAGGAUCAGCGGCACAAAGAUGGUGGUAUUUCAGGAUCAACAAGAACAAGCAAAAGAACUUGUAGAAGGAAUUCAUUUUCCUGCAGUCUAUAAACAACAUGGGAUCUAUGGGAGUUUAUGCUGUGAGAACUGGAUACUCACUUAAGCAUAUUUAUAGCAACAGCUAACAACAUGAUAAUUUCCUUUCAUUCUUUGAUUACUUUUCUUUUGUUGUUAUUGCUUAUUACAAAGUUCAGCAGUUGGAGUUGUACGCAUGUCUUUUUUUCUGGUCAAUCAAAGUGGUACUUGGACCAAGAUUGCGGAUUACCCGUGUUGCCCAACGUAGCAUAUCCGUCUCCUUUCACUCAAGUUAGAAUUCCCGUCCCCAUAAAUUAUAGUAAUAUAGGACAUUAUAAUAUUGGUUGUAUCCACUACAAAACUAAUAUUUGGACCAACAGUCUCUACACUCUUAUAAAAAAAAUAUGGUUACUGCCAAGGUUAAGCACAGUAUAAUGAAUUAUAUAAUCCCAACCUUAACGUUUGGUUUGCUUCUAGUAUUCUAAAGAAUGAUGAUAGUUAAUUGUAUAUUGAAGUAUAAUUAUUUAUUUGGGAUAAUAUGAUAUAGGUCAAAUUUAUCAGAUGAAUAUUACCUUGUCGGAUAAAUAAAAUCCAGAACUAGCAGCAUUCACCAUUUCCUCCCUCUUAAUGUUCUUGACCCUUUUGUAAUUUGAUGGACGGCACAAACUAAGGCACUGGUCAAGGACCCCAAAAGGAUGCUGGUCGCGCCAACACAGAUCAGCCAUCCCUCUGUUUUUGUUUCACUUUUCUUCGUUUAUUUCGUUAAGCAUAUUUUCCAGCCACUGAAAUAAAACAGUUGUUUUCCCACCCAAAUUUGGCAUAUUAUUAUGUUUUUGUGUUUUCUUUAUACAAAUUUGGGCUUAAAACCUCCACGCUUGUUAUUUGUUAAACCACAAUUGAUGCACGUACAUUUAGUGUCCAACAAACAAGGGAUUUUAUACUCCAAAUAGUUUUGUCAUUAAUUAAUUUAUUCCACGCUUGAUCAUCCUUGUUAUGCUCAGGGACAUAUCAAUAGAGUCCUAACAUUAUCCCACUUGAAUUAUCAUUGAUCAUAUCCUUCAUCAACAUAUUGAAUCAAAUUAAUCCCUUAGUGAUCACUUUUGGACAACAUAACCAUUAAUCCCUUUGCAUAUCUGCCAUAAACUAUUUCAAAGAAAUAAACCUUAGAAAAUCUUGUACAUCAAUACAAGCACCCUAAGACCACAUUUCCCAAAAUAACUUAUGCGUGAUGCAAAUACCGAAAAAAAUUUAAAGUUUGUUUCCAAGCUCCCACUGAUCAGAGCAGUCCACCAUUGUCAAGCUUUUGUUUAGUCUGAAUCUUUCAUCAGUCCACAACAUUUCAAUUAGGGGUGAGCAAACGGGUAUAGAAACCGCGGGUCGGGACGGGUAAUGUAGGUUUGGGGCGGGUACGGGCCGAUUCUAAAUGUUUUAGAAAAUAAACGGGGUGGGCCGGUUCCUAAACCCUAGAAAAACGGUACUCCGGACCGAGCCGUUUCUAAUUAUAAUCAACGGUCGAGAUUGAAUGAUAACUUAUCAUUCAAUCUGAACAGUUAGUUUAUACCCUAGUCUCACACUUUCACCACUGUUUCACUCACAGACUCUCUGACUCACUCACUCACUCACUCCCACCUCUCAUUUACCAUCCAUCACUCGACUCAGGUAUGAUUUGGAAUUGAGGUGAUUUAAAAAAAGGCUACAACAACAACAAUAACAACAACAAAGCCUUUUCCCACUAAGUGGGGUCGGCUAUAUGAAUCCUAGAACGCUAUUGCGCUCGGUUUUGUGUCAUGUCCUCCGUUAGAUUCGAGUACUCUAAGUCUUUUCUUAGGGUCUCUUCCAAAGUUUUCCUAGGUCUUCCUCUACCCCUUCGACCCUGAACCUCUGUCCCGUAGUCACAUCUUCGAACCGGAGCGUCAGUAGGCCUUCUUUGCACAUGUCCAAACC
rnacentral:lncRNA from 1 species